rnacentral:rRNA from 14 species
GUCGGCGAAGUUACUUUGAAAAAAUUAGAGUGUUCAAAGCGGGCUUACGCUUGAAUAUAUUAGCAUGGAAUAACACUAUAGGACUCCUGUCCUAUUUUGUUGGUCUUCGGGACGGGAGUAAUGAUUAAGAGGAACAGUUGGGGGCAUUCGUAUUUCAUUGUCAGAGGUGAAAUUCUUGGAUUACGGGAAGAUGAACCACUGCGAAAGCAUUUGCCAAGGAUGUUUUCAUUAAUCAAGAACGAAAGUUGGGGGCUCGAAGAUGAUUAGAUACCAUCCUAGUCUCAACCAUAAACGAUGCCGACUAGGGAUUGGCGGAUGUUAAUUUGAUGACUUCGCCAGCACCUUAUGAGAAAUCAAAGUUUUUGGGUUCCGGGGGGAGUAUGGUCGCAAGGCUGAAACUUAAAGGAAUUGACGGAAGGGCACCACCAGGAGUGGAGCCUGCGGCUUAAUUUGACUCAACACGGAGAAACUUACCAGACCAAGACAUCAUUGAGGAUUGACAGACGAGGAGGUUUUUCGAGAUAGGAUGGGAGGUGGUGCAUGGCCGUUCUUAGUUGGUGGAGUGAUUUGUCAGGUUAAUUCCGAUAACGAACGAGAUUUUAGUGGAAGAGACGAGAGAGUAAAUGAAAGUUUAUUUUCUUGGUUAUUUCAGAUGGAUAGGAAAAUAAACUAUAGGAAGAUUAAAGUGAUAACAGGUCUGUGAUGCCCUUAGAUGGUUUGGGCUGCACGCGUGCUACAAUGAUAGAGACAGAGAUCCACUCUUUUUGUAAUAGAAAGGAGAUUGACGCAUCGAAGGAUGGGUUGAAAGGAUGGAGAAUCUAUUCAUGUUAGGGGAUUAACGAUUGGAAUUAUUCGUUAUGAACACGGAAUGCCUAGUAAGUAUAAGUCAACAGGUUAUAUUGAUUAGGUCCCUGCCUCUUGUACACACCGCCCGUCGCUGCUACCGAUUGAAUAGUAAAUGUGAAAUGGGAGGACUCGGCCAAGUCGUUCGUUUGUUUGAUUUGGAAGAGGAAAACUAUUGAAUGUUUAUAUUUAGAGGAAGCAAAAGUCGUAACAAGGUUUCCGUAGGC